AAAUUGAAGAGUUUGAUCAUGGCUCAGAUUGAACGCUGGCGGCAGGCCUAACACAUGCAAGUCGAGCGGCAGCGGAAAGUAGCUUGCUACUUUGCCGGCGAGCGGCGGACGGGUGAGUAAUGUCUGGGAAACUGCCUGAUGGAGGGGGAUAACUACUGGAAACGGUAGCUAAUACCGCAUAACGUCGCAAGACCAAAGAGGGGGACCU
rnacentral:rRNA from 1 species